CAGUAGCCACGGUAAUACGAAGGGGGCUAGCGUUGCUCGGAAUUACUGGGCGUAAAGGGAGCGUAGGCGGACAUUUAAGUCAGGGGUGAAAUCCCAGAGCUCAACUCUGGAACUGCCUUUGAUACUGGGUGUCUUGAGUGUGAUAGAGGUAUGUGGAACUCCGAGUGUAGAGGUGAAAUUCGUAGAUAUUCGGAAGAACACCAGUGGCGAAGGCGACAUACUGGAUCAUUACUGACGCUGAGGCUCGAAAGCGUGGGGAGCAAACAGGAUUAGAUACCCCCGUAGUCCCUGUCUCUUAUAC
rnacentral:rRNA from 1 species